rnacentral:antisense_RNA from 1 species
GGGGUUUGCAGCAGUAGAUUCGCGCGUUCUUUAAUGUCACCACCGAUGUGAUAAGGCAAGCCACAGUUGGCAAACGAAACGAAGGGACCACGUUCAAACAUGAUAAUUUGUGCAUCUUCGCUUAAACGACGCGCACGCGCAGCCGCGGAGGCACCACCGGCGACACCAC